rnacentral:rRNA from 1 species
UGGGCGUAGAGGGCUCGCAGGCGGUUUCUUAAGUCUGAUGUGAAAGCCCCCGCCUCAACCGGGGAGGGUCAUUGGAAACUGGGGAACUUGAGUGCAGAAGAGGAGAGUGGAAUUCCACGUGUAGCGGUGAAAUGCGUAGAGAUGUGGAGGAACACCAGUGGCGAAGGCGACUCUCUGGUCUGUAACUGACGCUGAGGAGCGAAAGCGUGGGGAGCGAACAGGAUUAGAUACCCUGGUAGUCCACGCCGUAAACGAUGAGUGCUAAGUGUUAGGGGGUUUCCGCCCCUUAGUGCUGCAGCUAACGCAUUAAGCACUCCGCCUGGGGAGUACGGUCGCAAGACUGAAACUCAAAGGAAUUGACGGGGGCCCGCACAAGCGGUGGAGCAUGUGGUUUAAUUCGAAGCAACGCGAAGAACCUUACCAGGUCUUGACAUCCUCUGACAAUCCUAGAGAUAGGACGUCCCCUUCGGGGGCAGAGUGACAGGUGGUGCAUGGUUGUCGUCAGCUCGUGUCGUGAGAUGUUGGGUUAAGUCCCGCAACGAGCGCAACCCUUGAUCUUAGUUGCCAGCAUUCAGUUGGGCACUCUAAGGUGACUGCCGGUGACAAACCGGAGGAAGGUGGGGAUGACGUCAAAUCAUCAUGCCCCUUAUGACCUGGGCUACACACGUGCUACAAUGGACAGAACAAAGGGCAGCGAAACCGCGAGGUUAAGCCAAUCCCACAAAUCUGUUCUCAGUUCGGAU